CUCCCACGCCGCUUCCCACGCCAACGCCUCUUUCGUCGACGCUGUCGCUGCCGGUGCCGCCGCCUCUCGUCGCUUGCCGCUGGUCUCCUCUCACGAGCUUUACCAAGUCAUUGUGAGACAUUUUAGAGAUGCACCAAGUAGAGAGAAGAGGUAAUUGGAGGUUUCAGAUAUGCAUCGCCGUCGUCAUGGUCACACUCCAACUAGCGAGUCCACUCGCGCGGGAUCAACCAACCAAGGUAUCCCUGCGAUGACAUCUUCUGAGAAUGUCGAUAUCGUGGAAGAUGAUGAGCUCAUGGUGCCUGAUGCGAGGAUAAAAUUUGAAAGGGAUCCGCACGCUGAGAAACUAAUAAUCCCUAGUUCAAUGUCAAGGGAGAUAACAACAACUUUUCAUCGCAUCCCAAAUAUAACGGGGUAAACUUGGGCUCGUACCCCCGAUAAUGUUAAGAAGCUGUACUUUGAGGAA